GAGGAGUGACGUGUAGGUUUGCGGACCCACGGGGAGUCGCAGUGGGAAGGCGCGGCCCACUGACUCCCGUCAUGUGACAAGAAGCGGAAACUACGCUGAAAUAGGCCCUUGCUCCAAGUCCCAGUAACUCGGAAUGCGGAGCCGCUCGUCUCCGUCUUUUUUAAGAGUGCACUGGUACCAUCAUAGUUCACUACUGCUUCAUACUCCCGGACUCAAGCAAUCCUCCCUCCUUGGUCUCCCAAAGUGCUGAGAUUACAGCUGUGAGCCACCUCCCCUGGCCAUAAAGUAGAGACGGGGUUUCACUAUGUUAGCCAGGAUGGUCUCGAUCUCCUGAACUUGUGAUCCGCCUGCUUCGGCCUCCCAAAGUGCUGGGAUUACAGGUAUGAGCCACCGCGCCCGGCCAAACGUUAGCAAAGAAUGGACAGCUAUUCAGUCUUAAUCAAUUUGACCACAAG